rnacentral:rRNA from 1 species
UACAGAGGUGGCAAGCGUUGUUCGGAAUUACUGGGCGUAAAGGGCGCGUAGGCGGCCCGUCAAGUCCCGUGUGAAAGCCCCCGGCUCAACCGGGGAACGGUGCGGGAAACUAGCAGGCUUGAGUUCGGGAGAGGGAAGCGGAAUUCCGGGUGUAGCGGUGAAAUGCGCAGAUAUCCGGAGGAACACCGGUGGCGAAGGCGGCUUCCUGGACCGACACUGACGCUGAGGCGCGAAAGCUAGGGGAGCAAACGGG